CCUACGGGAGGCAGCAGUGGGGAAUUUUGGACAAUGGGCGAAAGCCUGAUCCAGCAAUGCCGCGUGCAGGAAGAAGGCCUUCGGGUUGUAAACUGCUUUUGUACGGAACGAAACGGUUCGCUUUAAUACAGUGGGCUAAUGACGGUACCGUAAGAAUAAGCACCGGCUAACUACGUGCCAGCAGCCGCGGUAAUACGUAGGGUGCGAGCGUUAAUCGGAAUUACUGGGCGUAAAGCGUGCGCAGGCGGUUAUAUAAGACAGUUGUGAAAUCCCCGGGCUCAACCUGGGAAUUGCAUCUGUGACUGUAUAGCUAGAGUACGGUAGAGGGGGAUGGAAUUCCGCGUGUAGCAGUGAAAUGCGUAGAUAUGCGGAGGAACACCGAUGGCGAAGGCAAUCCCCUGGACCUGUACUGACGCUCAUGCACGAAAGCGUGGGGAGCAAACAGGAUUAGAUACCCUGGUAGUCCACGCCCUAAACGAUGUCAACUGGUUGUUGGGUGCAUUAGUACUCAGUAACGAAGCUAACGCGUGAAGUUGACCGCCUGGGGAGUACGGCCGCAAGGUUGAAACUCAAAUAGAGUAGACGCGUGAGACGAGCGAGGACGACGACGAGGGAGGAGG
rnacentral:rRNA from 1 species